CCUACGGGUGGCAGCAGUGGGGAAUUUUGCGCAAUGGGCGCAAGCCUGACGCAGCAACGCCGCGUGAUCGAAGAAGGCUUUCGGGUUGUAAACUUCUUGUAAGAGGGAAGAGCAGAAGACAGUACAUAGUGAAUAAGCCACGGCUACCUAGGUGCCAGCAGCCGCGGUAAUACGUAGGGGGAAAGCGUUGUCCGGAUUUACUGGGCGUAAAGGGCGCGUAGGAGGGAAGAAAAGUCAGAUGUGAAAUCCCGAGGCUCAACCGCGGAACUGCAUUUGAAACUGGUUGUCUUGAGUGCCGGAGAGGUCAAGGGAAUUCCUGGUGUAGCGGUGAAAUGCGUAGAUAUAAGGAAGAACACCAGUGGCGAAGGCGGAUGACUGGACGGUAACUGACGGUGAGGCGCGAAAGCGUGGGGAGCAAACGGGAUUAGAUACCCCUGUAGUC
rnacentral:rRNA from 1 species